AGAGUUUGAUCAUGGCUCAGGAUGAACGCUGGCGGUCUGCUUAACACAUGCAAGUCGAACGGAGUAGAAAUACUUAGUGGCGGACGGGUGAGUAACGCGUGAGAAUCUGCCAAAAGGACUGGGACAACCACUGGAAACGGUGGCUAAUACCGGAUGAGCCGCAACGUAAAAGAGGAAACUCGCCUUUUGAGGAGCUCGCGUCUGAUUAGCUAGUUGGUGAGGUAAGAGCUCACCAAGGCAUCGAUCAGUAGCUGGUCUGAGAGGAUGAUCAGCCACACUGGGACUGAGACACGGCCCAGACUCCUACGGGAGGCAGCAGUGGGGAAUUUUCCGCAAUGGGCGAAAGCCUGACGGAGCAAGACCGCGUGAGGGAGGAAGGCUCUUGGGUUGUAAACCUCUUUUGUCAGGGAAGAACACAAUGACGGUACCUGAAGAAUCAGCAUCGGCUAACUCCGUGCCAGCAGCCGCGGUAAUACGGGGGAUGCAAGCGUUAUCCGGAAUUAUUGGGCGUAAAGCGUCCGCAGGUGGCUAAUCAAGUCUGCUGUCAAAGGUUGGGGCUUAACUUCGGAAAGGCAGUGGAAACUGAACAGCUAGAGUAUGGUAGGGGCAGAGGGAAUUCCUGGUGUAGCGGUGAAAUGCGUAGAGAUCAGGAAGAACAUCGGUGGCGAAGGCGCUCUGCUGGACCAUAACUGACACUCAGGGACGAAAGCUAGGGGAGCGAAUGGGAUUAGAUACCCCCGUAGUCC
rnacentral:rRNA from 1 species